rnacentral:lncRNA from 1 species
UAUAUAUUGACUUCAGGGAGUUUAAGUAUGACCUGAAAUGGGAAUUUCCACGAGAAAAUCUUGAGCUUGGUAAAGAUCACCAGGAACUUUCUUUAGACUUGCUAUAUAUAACGUAUUAGGUGUUACACAUUUGUUUUGUGUGCUUUCUAAAGGGAAUGAGCUGGGAUCUGGAGCUUUUGGGAUGGUUGUACAGGCUACAGCAUAUGGGAUCAGCAAGCCUGGAGUGUCUAUUCAGGUAGCAGUAAAAAUGUUAAAGGACAAGCACCAGGCAGUGGAAAAGGAAGCUCUGAUGUCUGAACUGAAAAUGCUGACUCAUAUUGGAC